rnacentral:rRNA from 1 species
UACAAAGGGGGCUAGCGUUGCUCGGAAUCACUGGGCGUAAAGCGCACGUAGGCGGAUUGCUAAGUCAGGGGUGAAAUCCUGGAGCUCAACUCCAGAACUGCCUUUGAUACUGGCGAUCUUGAGUCCGGGAGAGGUGAGUGGAACUGCGAGUGUAGAGGUGAAAUUCGUAGAUAUUCGCAAGAACACCAGUGGCGAAGGCGGCUCACUGGCCCGGUACUGACGCUGAGGUGCGAAAGCGUGGGGAGCAAACAGG